GGAGUUGUAGCAUUUUGAAGUUUUGUUAUUAUGUAGAUAUUAUAUGUGUUAGUCGCUAGGUACGUUAGAUAACUCAUUAUUGUCAAUUUUACAUUAUAGUUGUAGUCUAGAUGGUAAGUACCUGUUGUCAUCUCAGAGAUCGCAAGUUUAAACCAGGGUCGAAAUUAUUUUUUUGCAAAACCAUAUCGGGCAGGUUACAUGGGAAAACAAGUGGAUUUUGUUUUAAAAA